GUAAACGGCGGCCGUAACUAUAACGGUCCUAAGGUAGCGAAAUUCCUUGUCGGGUAAGUUCCGACCCGCACGAAAGGCGUAACGAUUUGGGCACUGUCUCAACGAGAGACUCGGUGAAAUUUUAGUACCUGUGAAGAUGCAGGUUACCCGCGACAGGACGGAAAGACCCCAUGGAGCUUUACUGUAGUUUGAUAUUGAGUGUCUGUACCGCAUGUACAGGAUAGGUAGGAGCCGUAGAAAUCGGAACGCUAGUUUCGAUGGAGGCGCUGGUGGGAUACUACCCCUGCGUUAUGGCCACUCUAACCCGCACCACUAAUCGUGGUGGGAGACAGUGUCAGAUGGGCAGUUUGACUGGGGCGGUCGCCUCCUAAAAGGUAACGGAGGCGCCCAAAGGUUCCCUCAGAAUGGUUGGAAAUCAUUCGAAGAGUGUAAAGGCAGAAGGGAGCUUGACUGCGAGACCAACAAGUCGAGCAGGGACGAAAGUCGGGCUUAGUGAUCCGGUGGUUCCGCAUGGAAGGGCCAUCGCUCAACGGAUAAAAGCUACCCUGGGGAUAAC
rnacentral:rRNA from 1 species